UAAUCUGAGAUAAUGAAUUUGUCACAUUUAAUAAAAUAUACUACCUGGUCAUCAUAAACAUGUAUGUGGUUAGCACAGAAUGUCACAACAACCAGAAAAUUAUUUGUCACUCUCAACAGAAACUUGUAUAAGAUCAUAAGAAAGGAGACCUGGUCAUAUACACACAGAUUGUUACCUUUUUGCAUGUUACCUCUUUUUUUUUUUUUGCUGUGGAGGUACUUUACGAUGUGAUUUCAGAUCUGAUUAAAUUCAGUUCUGUGCCCUUUACAGAGUACAACAUUACUGGGAAGUCACCACAACAGAAAACAAAGUAGGGGUUAAGUUUUACUCUCAUGAUCAAACAAACAUUACUGAAUCCUUUCAAGAGUUAAACACCAGCCUUUCCUCCUACCUGCAACCAAGAUGAAAGCUUCUGAAAUGUAUUUCAUAGCUCAGUUGCAUCAACUAAACAUAUUUUCUGCAGAGAUUUAGGCUGGAACUCGCACUCUCCCCUUCUGCUAAUGCCAUAAAAACAUAGUGAGAAAGCCCAGCACUUCCUAUUGUGCAAGGAUAUAAACUCCACAGGGAACUGAGAGCAGUAAAGGAAACGUCCACCUCAAGAAUGUUCAAUAGAGGAAAGAAAACCUUCCUGUUCAUCACAGGCUUUCAACUAAAUUACUGAAAGGUCUGAAAAAAGUAACCAUGUGUAUGCAGUACAGAUCACUAUGAAUGCAGGGUGUGGGCAAAACCUGUUCUCCAAACCAGGAGUGUUCUCUACACUAUUCUGGUUGAGAACAUGCAAUGGAAAACAUAAAGGAACAAGCAUUCCUCCCGUCUCAUCUGUGUGAGUACCUGAGAUGUGAGAAACAGCCCAAGGACUCCUCCGAUCCACCACAACCACGUAAGUAGAUGUUGGAUGUCAACUGAACAAAUGAAGCCAUCACAGUGCUGCCUUGACUUGCGUGCAGGAUAAAAU